rnacentral:rRNA from 1 species
CCUACGGGUGGCAGCAGUGAGGAAUAUUGGUCAAUGGACGAGAGUCUGAACCAGCCAAGUAGCGUGAAGGAUGACUGCCCUAUGGGUUGUAAACUUCUUUUAUAUGGGAAUAAAAUGUUCCACGUGUGGGAUUUUGUAUGUACCAUAUGAAUAAGGAUCGGCUAACUCCGUGCCAGCAGCCGCGGUAAUACGGAGGAUCCGAGCGUUAUCCUGAUUUAUUGGGUUUAAAGGGAGCGUAGGUGGAUUGUUAAGUCAGUUGUGAAAGUUUGCGGCUCAACCGUAAAAUUGCAGUUGAAACUGGCAGUCUUGAGUACAGUAGAGGUGGGCGGAAUUCGUGGUGUAGCGGUGAAAUGCUUAGAUAUCACGAAGAACUCCGAUUGCGAAGGCAGUUCACUGGACUGCAACUGACACUGAGGCUCGAAAGUGUGGGUAUCAAACAGGAUUAGAUACCCGAGUAGUC